rnacentral:rRNA from 1 species
AGGUGGUGCAUGGUUGUCGUCAGCUCGUGUCGUGAGAUGUUGGGUUAAGUCCCGCAACGAGCGCAACCCUUGAUCUUAGUUGCCAGCAUUCAGUUGGGCACUCUAAGGUGACUGCCGGUGACAAACCGGAGGAAGGUGGGGAUGACGUCAAAUCAUCAUGCCCCUUAUGACCUGGGCUACACACGUGCUACAAUGGACAGAACAAAGGGCUGCGAGACCGCAAGGUUUAGCCAAUCCCACAAAUCUGUUCUCAGUUCGGAUCGCAGUCUGCAACUCGACUGCGUGAAGCUGGAAUCGCUAGUAAUCGCGGAUCAGCAUGCCGCGGUGAAUACGUUCCCGGGCCUUGUACACACCGCCCGUCACACCACGAGAGUUUGCAACACCCGAAGUCGGUGAGGUAACCUUUAUGGAGCCAGCCGCCGAAGGUGGGGCAGAUGAUUGGGGUGAAGUCGUAACAAGGUAGCCGUAUCGGAAGGUGCGGCUGGAUCACCUCCUUUCUAA